rnacentral:lncRNA from 1 species
AUCACUAUAUGUAUAGUAAACAACCUCAUCAGCUCUGUUACACAAUUACUUUACUUUUAAAAGCAUACAAUGAUCAAUUCUGCAUUAAUUAGACAGUUUUCCUAAAUCAAAACUUGUAUUUGAGUAGAAGAGCAAAACAAUACAGACGGAAAGUAGACGUAAUCGAGGUAUAUUUAAUUGUAUGAAUGAUUUUUGUAUUUUUGUUUGCCUGAAUCUUAUUUU